CUGAGCAGAAUCAAUUCAAAAUAAUUCACCUGCACAGGGCUUCCACUUUCCGGGUACGUAUUUCACUUUCUGGGGUACCCGCGCCUGAUGUCUCCAGCCCGUGGGGAGCACAGAGCUAACCCCAAAGGGCUCUGUGCAGCAAUUACACCUGCUGCCACCCCUAGCAGGAGUUAGGGUGAAGGUUACGAGGUCCGAAAUGGGCCGGUCGGCACUUUGUUCGAGGAGAAGCUUUAAUUUAGAUGCUCACCCGAGGAGCCCGUGCUGGGACGAGCACACGCGUCCCCUUUCCUCCUCCUCAUGGGCAAGCUGGUCCCUUGCAAGCAGCGAUUCUGCCUUUAGGGGUGGCAAUAAACGGGUCGGAGGGAUUUUAUGGGAACCCCGAGAUAGGAGCGAUGAAAACACAACCCCCCAGCACCGCAGCUCGGAUGUAUGGGGCUGUCCAGGAGACCCUACAGGGUGGAGAAGUACCGGCCAAGGGAGCUCUCCGAGCUGGUGUCGCACCGGGACAUCCUCAGCACCAGUGAGUAGCGGGGGGACAACAGCACCCCCAGUACCCCCCCGGCCCCAGCAGCACCCCCAUCCUCACCAGCACCCUCCUACCAGCACCCCCAACCCCUCCCAGCACCUCACCACCACCCCCCAGCAACCCCCCCAGCACCCCCCCAGCAACCCCCCGAUUCCUACCAACACCCCCCAUUCCCCUUAUUCCCCCCAGCACCACCCCAUUCCCCCCAGCACCCCCCCCAGCAACCU
rnacentral:lncRNA from 1 species